rnacentral:rRNA from 1 species
AUGGAGAGGCGAGGAGAAGGGGGCGGGGGCGCUGUGGGGGCGGAGGAGAAAAGGGGCGCAAACUGCGAGCCGACGGGGGCGGCGGUGUUGCUGAAGAGGGAAGGCGUCGUGCCGAAGACGAACGGCGGGGAGGAAGAGGCCGAGGCAGUGGAGGCGGAAGGCGCCGUGGAGGAGAGGGAGCCCGGCGAGGUGACGGAGUCCAUGGCGGCGGCGGACGGGGAGGAGUCGGUGCCGGCCAUGAGGAGAACCUGGAAGCAGCUGAUACCAAGUUGGAAAGAUAUUUCCUUGAUUGAUUUACAGAUCACAGUACAUCAUUAUAUGAGGGAGAACUGCACGUCCUAUACAAGUGGCACUCGGGCCCGACGUGGUCUCCCGAUCCUAGAAUUGCGGCAACGUUACAUGAGUAUAUGA